rnacentral:misc_RNA from 1 species
AACACUGUUAACCUGCGGUACCUGCGGAAGGAUCAUUACCGAGUUUACAACUCCCAAACCCCUGUGAACAUACCAAUUGUUGCCUCGGCGGAUCAGCCCGCUCCCGGUAAAACGGGACGGCCCGCCAGAGGACCCCUAAACUCUGUUUCUAUAUGUAACUUCUGAGUAAAACCAUAAAUAAAUCAAAACUUUCAGCAACGGAUCU